rnacentral:rRNA from 1 species
AGUGAACGCUGGCGGCGUGCUUAACACAUGCAAGUCGAACGAGAACGGAUUAUAGCUUGCUAUAAUUGUCAGCUAAGUGGCGCACGGGUGAGUAAUGUAUAGGUAAUAUGCCUCUUACUAAGGGAUAACAAUUGGAAACGAUUGCUAAUACCUUAUAUUCCUUUUUAUCAAAAGAUAAAAAGGGAAAGAUUUAUUGGUAAGAGAUUAGCCUGUAUUGUAUCAGUUAGUUGGUGGGGUAAUGGCCUACCAAGACAAUGACGCAUAACUGGUUUGAGAGGAUGAUCAGUCACACUGGAACUGAGACACGGUCCAGACUCCUACGGGAGGCAGCAGUGGGGAAUAUUGCACAAUGGACGAAAGUCUGAUGCAGCAACGCCGCGUGGAGGAUGACACAUUUCGGUGCGUAAACUCCUUUUAUAUAAGAAGAUAAUGACGGUACUAUAUGAAUAAGCACCGGCUAACUCCGUGCCAGCAGCCGCGGUAA